rnacentral:rRNA from 1 species
UACGUAGGGUGCAAGCGUUGUCCGGAAUUAUUGGGCGUAAAGAGCUUGUAGGCGGUUUGUCGCGUCUGCUGUGAAAUUUCGGGGCUCAACCCCGAGCUUGCAGUGGGUACGGGCAGACUAGAGUGUGGUAGGGGAGACUGGAAUUCCUGGUGUAGCGGUGAAAUGCGCAGAUAUCAGGAGGAACACCGAUGGCGAAGGCAGGUCUCUGGGCCGUAACUGACGCUGAGGAGCGAAAGCGUGGGGAGCGAACAGG